rnacentral:lncRNA from 10 species
CACCAUGUUGCCCAGGCUGUUCUUGAACUCCUGCCCUCAAGUAAUCCUCCCGCCUCAGCUUCCCAAAGUGCUGAGAUUACAGGCAAGAACCUCUGUGCCCGGCUAUAAGGAUGGAGUCUCAUUCUCAUUCUGUUGCCCAGGCUGGAGUGCAAUGGCGUGACCUCAGCUUAUUGCAACUUCCGCCUCCUUGGUUCAAGCGAUUCUCUUGCCUCAGCCUCCGAGCAGCUGGGACUAUUGGCAAGCGCCAUCAUGCCCAGCUAAUUUUUGUAUUUUUAGUAGAGACGGGGUUUCACCUUGUUGGCCAGGCUAGUCUCAAACUCCUGACCUCAAGUGAUCCACCUGCCUCGGCCUCCCACAGUGUUGGGAUUAUAAGCGAGAGCUACCAUGCCCAGCCCCUUCAGCCAUCUUUUCCAAUGAAUCCUGACUCUCACCCGCUUAGACUCAAGGAUGUCAAGAUUAUCUGGCACACAUUUUAACAGUGCAGAAAAUCAACCCAGAAUAUGGAGGGGAGUUUGAAAAUCCCACUGUAUUUGGAAAGAAAAGACUUUGGAAAAAAGAAAAAACCAACUUGUAACCUUCAAAAGAACAUCUGUCUGGUUUUCCCUGUAUGAGAUAUUGAUGGAAUUAAUACACAUUUGUACACACGCUUGCCUUAAAAAACAGCCCCUCAGAAAUGCACAGUGGUUCUCCCUGAGUGGUAGAAUUCCAGAGGAUUGUUUUUUGUUUCUCUUGCUUGGCUCUACGGUCUGCUUUUUUCUCAAUAGAUGCA